GGAUGUGAGGGUGAUCUAGCUGUGACAUCUGUCACCCCUCUGAUCGCCAGGGUUGAUUCAGCUGAUCUGGUUGGUUAGGCUGCUCCUCUUCUUCACCACCUCAUCUGAAUCCCUUGGGAACUGUGUGCUGAUCUGGUUGAAGGGGGAGUCCUUCCCGCCUAUACAUGCGUGUUCCUGGUUCAAAAGUUUGCAUAAAUAUCUGCAUUGCCUGCUAGAACUUUCGAACCAGUUCUCAAAUAUUAUAAACACAACUUGGGUUUAGUCCAUCUCAUAUUAACAGUUCCUUUGGACAGUCUAU
rnacentral:snRNA from 1 species